rnacentral:rRNA from 1 species
AGGGAGCGUAGAUGGAUGUUUAAGUCAGUUGUGAAAGUUUGCGGCUCAACCGUAAAAUUGCAGUUGAUACUGGAUAUCUUGAGUGCAGUGNAGGCAGGCGGAAUUCGUGGUGUAGCGGUGAAAUGCUUAGAUAUCACGAAGAACUCCGAUUGCGAAGGCAGCCUGCUAAGCUGCAACUGACAUUGAGGCUCGAAAGUGUGGGUAUCAAACAGGAUUAGAUACCCUGGUAGUCCACACGGUAAACGAUGAAUACUCGCUGUUUGCGAUAUACUGCAAGUGGCCAAGCGAAAGCGUUAAGUAUUCCACCUGGGGAGUACGCCGGCAACGGUGAAACUCAAAGGAAUUGACGGGGGCCCGCACAAGCGGAGGAACAUGUGGUUUAAUUCGAUGAUACGCGAGGAACCUUACCCGGGCUUAAAUUGCAGAUGAAUUACGGUGAAAGCCGUAAGCCGCAAGGCAUCUGUGAAGGUGCUGCAUGGUUGUCGUCAGCUCGUGCCGUGAGGUGUCGGCUUAAGUGCCAUAACGAGCGCAACCCUUGUUGUCAGUUACUAACAGGUUCCGCUGAGGACUCUGACAAGACCGCCAUCGUAAGAUGUGAGGAAGGUGGGGAUGACGUCAAAUCAGCACGGCCCUUACGUCCGGGGCUACACACGUGUUACAAUGGGGGGUACAGAGGGCCGCUACCACGCGAGUGGAUGCCAAUCCCCAAAACCUCUCUCAGUUCGGACUGGAGUCUGCAACCCGACUCCACGAAGCUGGAUUCGCUAGUAAUCGCGCAUCAGCCACGGCGCGGUGAAUACGUUCCCGGGCCUUGUACACACCGCCCGUCAAGCCAUGGGAGCCGGGGGUACCUGAAGUGCGUAACCGCGAGGAGCGCCCUAGGGUAAAACUGGUGACUGGGGCU